CACGCAUGACACACUGCAUAUCAAUAAGCGGAGGAAAAGAAACUAACAAGGAUUCCCUUAGUAACGGCGAGUGAAGCGGGAAGAGCUCAAAUUUGAAAUCUUCAAGGUUCUACCUUGACGAAUUGUAGUUUAUAGAAGUGUUUUCUGUUAGUAGAGUGGCAAAAGUUCUUUGGAAUAGGACAUCAUAGAGGGUGAGAAUCCCGUAUUUGGUCAUUCUUUCUAGCUUUGUGAUACACUUUCAACGAGUCGGAUUGUUUGGGAAUGCAGUCCAAAAUGGGUGGUAAAUUUCAUCUAAAGCUAAAUAUUGGCGAGAGACCGAUAGCGAACAAGUACCGUGAGGGAAAGAUGAAAAGAACUUUGAAAAAGAGAGUUAAACAGUACGUGAAAUUGUCAAAAGGGAAGCGUUUGACACCAGUGUUGUUUUUCCGAAAAUCAAUUACGAAUGUUUUGUUUUUAAGAAGUUAUGACUUCAUCGGCUUGCUUCUUUCUUUACGAAACUUUCUUAAUGCACUUUUCGGUUAACAAGUCAACAUCAAUUUCUUUUGUUGUAAAAGGGUACGAGGAAGGUGGCUUUCUUUUCGGAGAAAGUGUUUAUAGCCUUGUGCCUCUACAAUCGGAGAGAUUGAGGUCUGCAGCGUAGAUCCUUCGGGGUUAGAUACGUUUGUGCUAAGCUAUAGCCUUGUAUAGAUAACUUGUUGACUAUGCUCAGUCAUGUAGCUUACUCGCUUAUGCUAUUUUACCUACGCUUAGGAUGUUGAUCUACAGAGCGAGAGU
rnacentral:rRNA from 1 species